rnacentral:lncRNA from 1 species
UCAAAAAUUAAAAUUUUAGGGUCAAAACUUUAAAAGUUCAAAUUAAGAACCCCUUAUUGAAAAUUGCAUUUUAACCCAAAUAAAAAAUUAAAAUCAGGUCCUUCAAUAUUUAAGAUUGCGUGACAGAUCCUCACUUUAAAAAUUACAACAUGACCACAAUCAGUUAAUUGCAGACAGGGGCCUUUAAUUUCUUAAAUUACAACAUAGCCCCCGUCUCCUUUAUUCAACCCGUUUCACAGCUUUUUGCAUUUUGUAGAACAUGACAGUGAAACAUAUAUGGUAAAAUCCACACACAAAUUCAACCCUAAUUUCAACAAUCCCAUUAUAAUGAAAAAUGGAGACAAAAAGAGGGGGAAAGUUCACCAAACUCACAAAUCCCAUAAUAAUGAAAAACCAGAGAAAUAAUCCCAGAAGCCAAAACAAAAAUACGCUUAAAAAAUCAAAACAGCUUUAUCCACCAAGAAAGUCACAGAAUCAAAUUCCAAAAUCCUAUACACGCAUAUAUACAGAAAUAGGAUUCCUGUUGGGCUACGAUGGUAAGGGCUAUGGUGCAUGUGGGUUUUGUUGAUUAGGGGAAAACCAUGGGUGAUUUUGGAUUUCUUUUCUUAUAGCUAUACAAUGAAUGAACAUGUAUAUGCACAGAACACGUAAAAUCAAUUACAAUUUUUUUUUUUUUUUUUUUUUUUUUUUGAAAAGCAAUCAAAACUAAAGUAAAUUGUCAAUGGUAAAUUCAAGCAGACAGAGGCAAGUGGGAAUAUUGGAAUGGCUAUUGGGUCUCCUUUUGAUAGUAAAACAUUGAGCAAUUAAUAUUCAAUUGCCAAAAAAGAAAAACCUGAAUUCUUGGCUUCUUCAAGAUAACAAAAAUUUCAAUGAAAAUGAAAUUAUAUAGACAUGCAAACACAUAUAGAUAAAGACCUUGAAGAAGUGAGAAAAUUGUGGGUUUCUCUUUCCUUUAUGCGGACGCAGGAGGGUGGGAAAGAAAAAGGAAGCACUUACUUUUGGGUUAUUUGCUCAAUUAACAAGGAAGCAAAUUUUUAAUCUUGGAUGUCGAAAGUUGAAUUAUAAAUAUUUCUAUAAAGGAUUCUAAUCUUAGCAUGAAGACUCUGAUACCAAUUGUUAAUAUUUAUUUAUAAUCAUGCUAAGAACAAGAAUCACAUAAUAAUAAAUUGAUAAAUCGAAUUCAUACAUGCGGAAGCCAUUGUUGAUAUGAAUAAUUGUUGUAAUAGCAGCCAAGAUCUUCCCCUCAUUGCUCCUCACAAAGUAAUAGCUAUCAAUGGGGCAAGCCAAUAAAACAUAUGGAGAGGAGAGGGGACCUAG